UAGGGAAUCUUCCGCAAUGGACGCAAGUCUGACGGAGCAACGCCGCGUGAGUGAAGAAGGAUUUCGGUUCGUAAAACUCUGUUGUUAGAGAAGAACAGCGCAUAGAGUAACUGUUAUGCGUGUGACGGUAUCUAACCAGAAAGCCACGGCUAACUACGUGCCAGCAGCCGCGGUAAUACGUAGGUGGCAAGCGUUGUCCGGAUUUAUUGGGCGUAAAGCGAGCGCAGGCGGUCAAUUAAGUCUGGUGUGAAAGCCCCCGGCUCAACCGGGGAGGGUCAUUGGAAACUGGUUGACUUGAGUGCAGAAGAGGAGAGUGGAAUUCCAUGUGUAGCGGUGAAAUGCGUAGAUAUAUGGAGGAACACCAGUGGCGAAGGCGACUCUCUGGUCUGUAACUGACGCUGAGGCUCGAAAGCGUGGGUAGCAAACAGG
rnacentral:rRNA from 1 species